AACUCAUCACUCUGACAUGUGUGGGUAAAUAAGUGCAUAUGCAGAGAGAGGGCAAGCCCACCCAAGCCUCAGCUCGAGUAAUUUGGGGAAGGGAAAGAGGAAAAGCCUGUGCUUGGAGAGACAGGUGGCACCAGUAAUAAGAAGCCCUGGACAAAGCUGAUAUUAGCUGAAGGAGUGUUGAAUGCAAUUUAUCUCAGCAGGGCAUGCCUGCACUUCAUUCUCAUCCUUAUAUUCCCUCAAACUCCAUCUGCUGCCUUCUUUCUGCAUCCCCUUCCCUGCAAGGCAGGCCAGACCCUCCAUCCCCUGGCCCCCGAGCCAGUGCUAAGCAAUGGGAGCUCAGCCAUUUGCCUCUGGGCUCACCAGUGGUGUGCUCCUCAUUGGUAGAAGAAUUAAACCCUGGAGCUAAAGGGAGUACAAAUGGGAAUAGAGAGAAAUCACAGAAAUUCUACCGACACCUGAAUGUUUCCUCGCUGUGCAUCCAGGGAAGCCACGUGUCUCCUGUGGAAAAAGACCAAAAGAAAUUCUGUCCUUUUGUGGUCUGAUUUCUGCUGAUGCACUGCUAGACUGGGAGGAUUUUAUUGUCCUGUGUAUGCAGUUUUACAUUUGAAAAAAAGAAAAAAAAAAUUACCAAUGCACCCAUGCACCCCAUUGCCAUAUUUCCCACAGCCUGUGCUACGUACCUCCCUCAUUGGACACGGUUCCCCUCAUCUGCAAUACCCCAACUUUGUCACAAGGACGGGGACAGUUCCAGUUGUUUGGUGACUGUUUGCUUCUGCCUCCAGUCAGUGCCUCCAGCACCACGCUGAUGGCUGCGCCAGGCAGCGGUAUGGGGAUAUCGUCAAGCUCAACUUGAUAGCUACUGUCAAAACUGCCGGAGUGUGGUGACAGUAAACAUUUUAGCUGGCUAACAAUUUGCUGCAAAAAGGGUUGACCCUGAAAUCAAGUUCUGCCGUAAUGAACGCUUUGUCUCCAAAUAUUUGCAUUUUUGCUGACAAGGUUCACUCUCCAGGAGAUUUCCUGCGCCCGUGAGCAAUCUGCCUGCGGAUGACAUGGAGGGUGGGUGAGGUUUUCUGAGCCAGUUUGUAAUCCAGCUGCGCGGUGAGCAGAGGUGGGCAGGCGUGUGCCUGAAAGAAGCAGAGCCACUGGGAUCGGGUUGCCUGACCAGGGAGCUGCUCAACUCCGGCACUGUGCUCACCCAACUGCUGAGCCCCUUUCUGUUGGGUUCUGUGUGGCAGUGCAACGCCAACCACGCAGAACAAACAGGAUGAUAAGCCUCAUUGAGCAGAUGGGGAAACUGAGGCACGUGGUGGUUUGGAGCUGUAUCUGCGCUGUGUUUGCAUGUAGUGCAGAGUGCCUGUUAGCCAGGGUUGCCCCAGACCCGGUGCUCCCAGCAUCUUGCUUUGGUGCUGAGGCUGUUCUACACCUGCAAGCACAGCAAACUGGGGCUACUCACACUUAGAAACUACCGAGCUGGGUCUUCUUCCACCCUUCCCAAAGCGCCAUAUGAUUUGGCCAGUGUUGCACAGAGAUGCUGGUAGAGCUGAGAGCUUCAUCCUGUUCCUUAGUCCAGAGUCCCAAAAACCCAGGUGGCUCCACUGUAGCAAAGAGGAUCCUCGAAGUUCUCUUGUUGCAGAGGCAGAAAUGCGUUGCUAUAGGUGAGGAUGAAGUUUCUCAGGGCAGGGAUGAUGGCCAGCAUGGUGGGCAUAUUUUGAACUGCUCCCAUUAGCUGGGCAAAUGAGCUCUGCCUAAUUCCACAUGCAGUUUGCCAGAGCUCCAGGCACAGAGCAGAGCAGUGGGAAGGGCAGGCUGGCUUCUAGCUUGGGACUUCAGCAUCACAGCCACAUUGCUACAUUUAUUCCUUGAUUCUGGAAAACUCCCCCGGAGGACAGUUGUCCAAGGGCCUGGAAGGCAGAGAUCUGGACUUCAUUUCCACUUUUGCCACUGAUUUUUGAGGGUGGCCACGGGCAAGUCUCCUCACCCAUUUUCCCUCUGACACUUGGCUUUUCUGUUUAGAGUAAAAUCUGCUCAGAGCAUUCCCUGUCUCUUACUACACCCAUCAGCAGUCCUUGCCAGACUGGGCUGUAAUUUGCUUGAGAUCCCUAAAUUCCUAGGCAAAUGCACAAUAAAUUGUAAUAAGAUUUCUCA
ensembl:lncRNA